CAGCAGUCGCCGCGGGAAUACAGAGGGUGCAAGCGUUAAUCGGAAUUACUGGGCGUAAAGCGCGCGUAGGUGGUUUGUUAAGUUGGAUGUGAAAUCCCCGGGCUCAACCUGGGAACUGCAUCCAAAACUGGCAAGCUAGAGUAUGGUAGAGGGUGGUGGAAUUUCCUGUGUAGCGGUGAAAUGCGUAGAUAUAGGAAGGAACACCAGUGGCGAAGGCGACCACCUGGACUGAUACUGACACUGAGGUGCGAAAGCGUGGGGAGCAAACAGGAUUAGAUACCCCGGUAGUCCCUGUCUCUUAUAC
rnacentral:rRNA from 1 species